rnacentral:lncRNA from 1 species
UCUUCUUUUAUGGCAUUAAUACCAACUCUUCUCCCUCUCUUGAAUGAUUGAUGACACUGGUAUCUAUAUCUGAGAUAGACAUGAUUAUUUCACCUUUGGAUCUGGUUUGGUAUGGGUGGGUUUCCUGUAUGCUGAGGUGAACUAACUGCCUGAAUAAUGAUGAUAGCAAAGAAACACUUAAGGAAAAUGGAAGAUCAACAGUCAAUAGAAGUAGGAAAACAGCUCAGAUUUAGGAAUUUGAACCUACAGAAUGUCCAAUAAAACUGUAAUUUUAUCACAGCUUGAUCUAAAACUUUCCAAAAACUGACAUCAAACCAUUUUAAAUCUGUGUGAAUAAGAAAACUAGUUCAAAAAUUUAGAGACCUCAACAUUUAAAAGAACUUGAUCAAACAGUAAUUUUGAUUUCAACUCUUAAAAUCUCUUCAGUAUUUUUUUUCCAGAAUGUUCUGC